rnacentral:lncRNA from 1 species
UUUGACCGCCAAAACAAAACCUUUUUUUUUCUUUUCUUCAAACUUUUGUGGGGCCCACAUGUCGGAGGGACCCCACAAUAUGGCUUAGAUAAAGCAAUACAUUGAUUUAUGUUCCAAGCUAGAUUCAUUAUUAGUAACUUGUAGAAUGUGAAAUUGCAACCUUCAUCGAGGAAAGCCCACCUAAAAGUCAGUACAUUUCCCAAGGAUUUUUUCUUUUCUGAUUACUCUUUAUUUGGUGACCAUUUUUUCCUUGUGCUGCAUUAAGUUCUACAUUGACAUUAGUUUUUGUGUAUUCUACCGAGUAAGUUUUCUAUGUGUACUCAAGGAAAGAAGAAAUUCUAUGAACAAGACCCCUUGUUUUUGUUUGGUGGAUUGCAGGCUCGAAUCCUAAAUUUUAAUUCAGGAUAAGUUUGUUUAUGGAACUGAAUUAAUAAUAAGUUGCUUAUUUAUAUUUACAUAUUUGCAAAUUAAAUUUUGUAUUUUAGAGUAUUUGGGGAAGGGAUUCGAACCUGAAUCUAUUGUCAGUUCGUAUAUACACUUAUCACUAGGCUAUGCUUUGGUGUGCAAAAAAAAAAACAAAAACUUCUUAUUAGAACCCAUUAAAGAAAGCAAUAUAAUUUAUUUAUUGUACGGAAAGAUAAAAUUGCUCCUGCGAUUGUAAAAUGACUUUAUA